rnacentral:rRNA from 1 species
AUAUCUUUUUCUAUUACAAACAUUAAACCACCCGCACCACUAGCCCCAAAUAAAAAAAUAGAAAAUAACCCAUAUGAGUUUCCACAUUGCUCAGGCUGAUCGCUGGCUGGGGUGCCUCAACACAUACAAGUCGAGCGCGGGCUUCGCUCAGAAUGGAGUAUUGUAAGUCUAGAAAGUUACAAUUUUGAGCAAAACCAAACUGCGGGUCGGGUGAGUAACGGGGUGGGUAACCUGCCCUAUACACAUGGAUAACAUACUGAAAAGUUUACUAAUACAUGAUAAUAUAUUUUUGCGGCAUCGCAGAUAUAUCUAAGUGUUAGCGGUAUAGGAUGGACCCGCGUCUGAUUAGCUAGUUGGUGAGAUAACUGCCCACCAAGGCGACGAUCAGUAGCCGACCUGAGAGGGUGAUCGGCCACAUUGGAACUGAGACACGGUCCAAACUCCUACGGGAGGCAGCAGUGGGGAAUAUUGCACAAUGGGCGAAAGCCUGAUGCAGCAACGCCGCGUGAACGAUGAAGGUCUUCGGAUCGUAAAGUUCUGUUGCAGGGGAAGAUAAUGACGGUACCCUGUGAGGAAGCCCCGGCUAACUACGUGCCAGCAGCCGCGGUAAUACGUAGGGGGCUAGCGUUAUCCGGAUUUACUGGGCGUAAAGGGUGCGUAGGUGGUCCUUCAAGUCGGUGGCUAAAGGCUACGGCUCAACCGUAGUAAGCCGCCGAAACUGGAGGACUUGAGUGCAGGAGAGGAAAGUGGAAUUCCCAGUGUAGCGGUGAAAUGCGUAGAUAUUGGGAGGAACACCAGUAGCGAAGGCGGCUUUCUGGACUGCAACUGACACUGAGGCACGAAAGCGUGGGUAGCAAACAGG